rnacentral:rRNA from 1 species
AGCGGAGGAAAAGAAACCAACAGGGAUUGCCCCAGUAACGGCGAGUGAAGCGGCAACAGCUCAAAUUUGAAAUCUGGCCCCUAGGGCCCGAGUUGUAAUUUGCAGAGGAUGCUUUUGGCGAGGUGCCUUCCGAGUUCCCUGGAACGGGACGCCAUAGAGGGUGAGAGCCCCGUCUGGUUGGAUGCCGAGCCUCUGUAAAGCUCCUUCGACGAGUCGAGUAGUUUGGGAAUGCUGCUCUAAAUGGGAGGUAUAUGUCUUCUAAAGCUAAAUACCGGCCAGAGACCGAUAGCGCACAAGUAGAGUGAUCGAAAGAUGAAAAGCACUUUGAAAAGAGGGUUAAAUAGUACGUGAAAUUGUUGAAAGGGAAGCACUUAUGACCAGACUUGGACCCGGUGAAUCAUCCAGCGUUCUCGCUGGUGCACUUUGCCGGGCUCAGGCCAGCAUCAGUUUGCCUCGGGGGAUAAAGGCUUUGGGAAUGUGGCUCCCUCGGGAGUGUUAUAGCCCAUUGCACAAUACCCUGGGGCGGACUGAGGUUCGCGCAUCUGCAAGGAUGCUGGCGUAAUGGUCAUCAGUGACCCGUCUAAAAAA